GUGUUCCCUCAGCCCCCUCUCCUCUCCCCUCUCCCAGGGAAUCCUCUGGGCAGCUGCUGUCUCUGGUCUCUGAGCUGCCCCCCCCGCCCCAAAGAGAGAUGCCUCCUCACACUGCCCCACAGGGGCUGGGGAAGCACCCCCUGGCCAGCCAAAGGUGCACCAUUCGCCUGGGGAGCUUAUAGCCAGGGCUGCUGCAACAAACAGCUGUGCAAGCC